rnacentral:rRNA from 1 species
GAUGAACGCUGGCGGCGUGCCUAAUACAUGCAAGUCGAGCGAACAGAUAAGGAGCUUGCUCCUUUGACGUUAGCGGCGGACGGGUGAGUAACACGUGGGUAACCUACCUAUAAGACUGGGAUAACUUCGGGAAACCGGAGCUAAUACCGGAUAAUAUUUCGAACCGCAUGGUUCGAUAGUGAAAGAUGGUUUUGCUAUCACUUAUAGAUGGACCCGCGCCGUAUUAGCUAGUUGGUAAGGUAACGGCUUACCAAGGCGACGAUACGUAGCCGACCUGAGAGGGUGAUCGGCCACACUGGAACUGAGACACGGUCCAGACUCCUACGGGAGGCAGCAGUAGGGAAUCUUCCGCAAUGGGCGAAAGCCUGACGGAGCAACGCCGCGUGAGUGAUGAAGGUCUUCGGAUCGUAAAACUCUGUUAUUAGGGAAGAACAUACGUGUAAGUAACUGUGCACGUCUUGACGGUACCUAAUCAGAAAGUCACGGCUAACUACGAG